rnacentral:snRNA from 1 species
GGAUGUGAGGGCGAUCUGGCUGCGACAUCUGUCACCCCAUUGAUGGCCAGGGUUGAUUCGGCUGAUCUGGCUGGCUAGGCGGGUGUCCCCUUCCUCCCUCACCACUCCAUGUGUGUCCCUUCCAAAGCUGCAUGCUCAGUCAAAGAGGAUGGCCUUCCCCGAAUAGAGAUGGACCGAUCUUGGGUUGAGGGUAUACGAGUAGCUGCGCUCCCCUGCUAGAACCUCCAAACAAGCUCUCAAAGUCCAUUAUUUUUUGCCAGAGCACUGCUCAGCUCUGACUUGGGUGGUGCUGGGAGUUAAACCAGGGACCUCAGAGCCUCAGAUGUGAGAGUCUGUAUAGUCAUUAUGU